AUUGCGGCUGCGGUUCUCGCUGUGGUUGGACUUUUUGUCCGUUAUAUGCGCAAAAAAGGGGGUUAUGCUGAGUCUGCAGAGCAGAAUUCAUUAGAGAAGCCAAGUGGUCCAGAAACAUCUGAACGAGUUUCUGCAGACCAGGACCAAAGCUGAAACAGUCUUCAUCCGUGUGUGGAACUGCUUUGGGUAGACGUGACGGACCUUAAUGACCAAAGACUGCUGGACUCUAAUGAUGACUUCUGCAGAGACGUUUCUUUUAGCUUUUUUUUAAAACACAACAGCAGUAAAAAAAGUUUUCAUCUCAUCAAAUGUUUCUCAUUAAGAGUUGGAUAAACUGUUUAUCAAUCAGUGCAUCUGGAGCAACCAACUUUCAUCAGAAACCUUUGCACAAAGGAAAUUAAUCAUGUAAACAUUAACUUGUUCAAUGGUUUUAUUGUAAUGUUUUUGUAUUUAUAUUGUUGUACAUUUUUGUGUUUUUGAGUCUUAAAGCAUAUUUUCAUGUCAAAAACACCAUGAGCUCAGUGUUUCUCAACUUUUAGUUGGGAUAUUAUUUAGAAAUCAGGACAACAUCCAGUUUAAGGCUCUGUAUCCUAAUGUGUUGCUGCUGGAUUUUGGGGGUAAUUUUCUUUUUUUACUUUGGAGAAUUCAAAUUUUUAAUGUUUACAAAUAAUCUGAGACUUGAGUUGUUGUUGUUGUUGCAAUAUAUGCUAACAGUGCCAUCUUACGCUGCGUCUUUUUCUCCCUAAAAACCAACGUACUGAAGAGAAAGAUACACUUGCUUUGGAGACAGAUAAAGGUUUUUAUGACUGUGAAAUUGAAGACUAUCUGAGCUCUGAUAAACCUGUUUAAAACUUUUUAUGAUCAUCUUUGGUUGGCAUGUGGCAGCUGAAUUCACUGUAUCCCCACCAGAGGGCAGCAGAGACCACUUGUUAAGAUAAGAUAGACUUCAUUGAUCUCACAGUGGAGAAAUUCACUUAAUAAUCCUUAAUAAUCAAAAGGUGCCAAAAGGAGGAAAAGGUGCAUGAGGUAUAGACAGUGCGUCCGCAUAUAUACUGUGGAUUGAGAGAAGAAGAAAAAAAGAAACAAAGCGGAGAUUUAAGAUGACUUAUGUACAUUUACAUGACGGCGGAUGUUACAACGCUAAAGUUUGGUUUUUGCACGAAAAAUGUAUUAAAAUGAGAAAUAAAUGC